GACAGAGGGGGCGAGCGUUGUCCGGAGUCACUGGGCGUAAAGGGCGCGCAGGCGGUGUGCUAAGUCUGGGCUGAAAGCCCCCCGCUCAACGGGGGGAGGCGUCGGCAGACGGGGAGGCUCGAGGUGCGCAGAGGGUGGUGGAAUUGCGGGUGGAGCGGUGAAAUGCGUAGAGAUCCGGAGGAACGCCAGUGGGGAAGCCGGGCGCCUGGCCGCAGGCUGACGCUGAGGCGCGACAGCGUGGGGAGCAAACCGG
rnacentral:rRNA from 1 species